UACGGGGGGGGCAAGCGUUGUUCGGAAUUACUGGGCGUAAAGGGCUCGUAGGCGGCCAACUAAGUCCGACGUGAAAUCCCAAGGCUUAACCUUGGAACUGCGUCGGAUACUGGAUGGCUUGAAUUCGGGAGAGGGAUGCAGAAUUCCAGGUGUAGCGGUGAAAUGCGUAGAUAUCUGGAGGAAUACCGGUGGCGAAGGCGGCAUCCUGGACCGACAUUGACGCUGAUGAGCGAAAGCUAGGGGAGCAAACGG
rnacentral:rRNA from 1 species